rnacentral:rRNA from 1 species
AUUGAACGCUGGCGGCAGGCCUAACACAUGCAAGUCGAAUGGUAACAGGAAACAGCUUGCUGUUUCGCUGACGAGUGGCGGACGGGUGAGUAAUGUCUGGGAAACUGCCUGAUGGAGGGGGAUAACUACUGGAAACGGUAGCUAAUACCGCAUAACGUCGCAAGACCAAAGAGGGGGACCUUCGGGCCUCUUGCCAACAGAUGUGCCCAGAUGGGAUUAGCUAGUAGGUGGGGUAACAGCUCACCUAGGCGACGAUCCCUAGCUGGUCUGAGAGGAUGACCAGCCACACUGGAACUGAGACACGGUCCAGACUCCUACGGGAGGCAGCAGUGGGGAAUAUUGCACAAUGGGCGCAAGCCUGAUGCAGCCAUGCCGCGUGUAUGAAGAAGGCCUUCGGGUUGUAAAGUACUUUCAGCGGGGAGGAAGGGAGUAAAGUUAAUACCUUUGCUCAUUGACGUUACCCGCAGAAGAAGCACCGGCUAACUCCGUG